GAUUUUCUUGUGUAUUUAUUUGCUAUAGUGGCAGUGUGUGUUCUGCUAUUUGUUGCAGGUGUAACAGGAGGCUGGUGUAGAAAACGUACCUAUAAAACAAGCACCCCGCAUUCCUCAUUAAAUAAUCUGGUAUUUUCACCUUUCACAGAGGAAGAGUUUUAUUUACAGUAUGUGUAAUUCUGUCACAACCAUUUAGCUUUUAAACAGUAUCAAACAGAUGAAAGCAUUUCAUUGUCACAAUUAUGACUUGCAAUAUGUUUGUGCAUCAUGGAUGGACCCUUCUGUUUUGUGUCCUUUAAACUGUGAAGCUUAGUGAUGUUUUCCUUGAUUUAACUAACACUGGGAGUUACAGCCCUGUUUAGCAUGGUGGCCACUACAGUGGACAGCUAUUCAGUAAAUUUCUUUUAUCUGUAUGGGUUUUAAUGGUGUAACUGUAAAUGAGCCAUUAGAGUAGCCACUAUUGCAUCAUGCGCGGGUUUCUACCCAGUGCCCAGCAAAUGUAAAUGCAACUAAAAUUCCUUUAAACCAAAAAUAUUCCUUUUCAGUCUUGGUUGUAAGAUGGCCAGGCAGGAAUAUCUUGCCAAAAUAUGAUGGUUUAAAGGGACAUUUAAAAGGACAUCCCAAUCAUAAAAAAAUAGGUUAAUAUAAAAAUGUAAAACAGUAAGUAGUUUCUGUUAUUAUCAGCACUGAGCAAUUGUGAUGUUCUAUCAAAACAUCUACAAUAAAGUCUGAAAAUAUUA